rnacentral:rRNA from 1 species
GGAGGAAAGCAGGGGAUCGCAAGACCUUGCGCUAAAGGAGCGGCCGAUGUCUGAUUAGCUAGUUGGUGGGGUAAAGGCUUACCAAGGCAACGAUCAGUAGUUGGUCUGAGAGGACGGCCAACCACACUGGGACUGAGACACGGCCCAGACUCCUACGGGAGGCAGCAGUGGGGAAUUUUGGACAAUGGGCGAAAGCCUGAUCCAGCCAUGCCGCGUGAGUGAAGAAGGCCUUCGGGUUGUAAAGCUCUUUUAGUCGGAAAGAAAGAGUUGCAAUGAAUGAUUGUGAUUUAUGACGGUACCGACAGAAAAAGCACCGGCUAACUACGUGCCAGCAGCCGCGGUAAUACGUAGGGUGCGAGCGUUAAUCGGAAUUACUGGGCGUAAAGGGUGCGCAGGCGGUCUUGCAAGUCAGAUG